rnacentral:rRNA from 1 species
GAGUAACGCGUGAGAAUCUAACUUCAGGACGGGGACAACAGUUGGAAACGACUGCUAAUACCCGAUGUGCCGCAAGGUGAAACCUAAUUGGCCUGAAGAAGAGCUUGCGUCUGAUUAGCUAGUUGGUAGGGUAAAAGCCUACCAAGGCGACGAUCAGUAGCUGGUCUGAGAGGAUGAGCAGCCACACUGGGACUGAGACACGGCCCAGACUCCUACGGGAGGCAGCAGUGGGGAAUUUUCCGCAAUGGGCGAAAGCCUGACGGAGCAACGCCGCGUGAGGGAGGAAGGUCUUUGGAUUGUAAACCUCUUUUCUCAAGGAAGAAGUUCUGACGGUACUUGAGGAAUCAGCCUCGGCUAACUCCGUGCCAGCAGCCGCGGUAAUACGGGGGAGGCAAGCGUUAUCCGGAAUUAUUGGGCGUAAAGCGUCCGCAGGUGGUCAGCCAAGUCUGCCGUCAAAUCAGGUUGCUUAACGACCUAAAGGCGGUGGAAACUGGCAGACUAGAGAGCAGUAGGGGUAGCAGGAAUUCCCAGUGUAGCGGUGAAAUGCGUAGAGAUUGGGAAGAACAUCGGGGCGAAAGCGUGCUACUGGGCUGUAUCUGACACUCAGA